GAUGAACGCUGGCGGCGUGCCUAAUACAUGCAAGUCGAGCGAACAGACGAGGAGCUUGCUCCUCUGACGUUAGCGGCGGACGGGUGAGUAACACGUGGAUAACCUACCUAUAAGACUGGGAUAACUUCGGGAAACCGGAGCUAAUACCGGAUAAUAUAUUGAACCGCAUGGUUCAAUAGUGAAAGACGGUUUUGCUGUCACUUAUAGAUGGAUCCGCGCCGCAUUAGCUAGUUGGUAAGGUAACGGCUUACCAAGGCAACGAUGCGUAGCCGACCUGAGAGGGUGAUCGGACACACUGGAACUGAGACACGGUCCAGACUCCUACGGGAGGCAGCAGUAGGGAAUCUUCCGCAAUGGGCGAAAGCCUGACGGAGCAACGCCGCGUGAGUGAUGAAGGUCUUCGGAUCGUAAAACUCUGUUAUUAGGGAAGAACAAAUGUGUAAGUAACUAUGCACGUCUUGACGGUACCUAAUCAGAAAGACACGGCUAACUACGUG
rnacentral:rRNA from 1 species